rnacentral:rRNA from 1 species
AUUCCGGAGAGGGAGCCUAAGAAACGGCUACCACAUCUAAGGAAGGCAGCAGGCGCGUAAAUUACCCACUCCCAGUUCGGGGAGGUAGUGACGAAAAAUAACAAUACAGGACUCAUAUCCGAGGCCCUGUAAUUGGAAUGAGUACACUUUAAAUCCUUUAACAAGGACCUAUUGGAGGGCAAGUCUGGUGCCAGCAGCCGCGGUAAUUCCAGCUCCAAUAGCGUAUAUUAAAGUUGUUGCGGUUAAAACGUUCGUAGUUGAAUUUGUGCUUCAUACGGGUAGUACAACUAUAAUUGUGGAUUGUACAUUACCUUAUGUAUGCAAGCGUAUUACCGGUGGAGUUCUAAUAUGUAAUGAUGCUUUGUAUCUUUAUGUAUACCUCCUAUUUAAACCUGCUUCAGUGCUCUUCAUCGAGUGUUGUUGUGGGCCGGUACAAUUACUUUGAACAAAUUAGAGUGCUUAAAGCAGGCUCCAAAUGCCUGAAUAUUUUGUGCAUGGAAUAAUGAAAUAAGACCUCUGAUCUACUUUCAUUGGUUUUUAGAUCAAGAGGUAAUGAUUAAUAGAAGCAGUUUGGGGGCAUUAGUAUUACGACGCGAGAGGUGAAAUUCUUGGACCGUCGUAAGACUAACUUAAGCGAAAGCAUUUGCCAAAGAUGUUUUCAUUAAUCAAGAACGAAAGUUAGAGGUUCGAAGGCGA